UUUUCUUGUCCAUUUCAAUGCUGUCUAAGCGCUCUGAAGAGCUGGAGUCUUGAUGUGGAGAGAGUCGGAUGGCAGGACCGAAGCCAGUGUGGUUUCUGCGGCAGACCUACUCUGACAGGGCCCUGUCAACUCAGCAAGGUUCACAGAGGUUGCUGUGGUUUAGCUGACAAAAGGACUGAAGAGGAACAGGAAGACAGUUUUUGCCUUGCAGUACCUUGGAAAGAAUCAGUCUGAAGAAACAUAUGUUAGGUGAUGAAAUGGGAGUCUCUCCAGUUUGAGAAGAUUUUCUCCAUCUCUGUACAUGCUGUUCCUGAGAGACGUGUCAUGUUGAAGAUUUGCUUACUGAGUUUGAUGUCUUGUGAUAGGAUCUGGUCUGUUCAUUACAACAGUCCCUCAUGAGACGGACAGGACG
ensembl:lncRNA